CACUCAAACGUACCCCAAAAACUCAUUAGCCAAUGGGGACGCAGCCCUGUUAGACCCGCCCAUGCGAGAGCUUUGUGCCAGAAUUGCAAACAAAGAGUUUUGGAAGCACAAACGAGAAAGCUGGGAACGCAACUGCAAAUGUGAUGAAGAGAGCAAAAGACUGAUCAUUGAGAAAGAUCAGACAGAAGUGUAAACAAAAAGACAUAUUAUCAAACGAAUAAAAUACCAAUAGUUUACGACUACACAAAUGUUUUGUAGUGAUGUUUGUUUGAUACUUGAAAAGUUUUGCUUGGAAUUAAAGGCA